rfam:Oryza meridionalis cultivar OR44 (W2112) chromosome 10, whole genome shotgun sequence.
UUUAAGUGCAACUAUAAGUUUCCGUGUCCAACUUUGAUCGUCCAUUUUAUUUGAUUUUUUUUGUAAUUAGUAAUUUUGUUGUUAUGAGAUGAUAAAACAUGAAUAAUACUUUAUGCAUGACUUAUUUUUUUAAUUUUUUUUUGAAAAAUUUUCAAAUAAGACGGAUGAUCAAAUUUGAGCACAGAAAAGCAUCGAUGCACUUAAA